rnacentral:ncRNA from 1 species
CUAAGGUGUCGGAUAAAUUUAUAUAUCCGGUGAAAAGGGAAGAAGGGUGAAAAUCCCUCACGAACUCGUCGCUGUAAUGCAGGAGUCUUGCUUCAGGUGCAAAAGCACAGUCAUUGGUGAAGGCCGAGAAGACGAAGCAAGGCAUUGAUAGCUGAGUCAGAAGACCUGCCUUUGAUGAU